UGGGGAAUUUUGGACAAUGGACGCAAGUCUGAUCCAGCCAUGCCGCGUGCGGGAAGAAGGCCUUCGGGUUGUAAACCGCUUUUGUCAGGGAAGAAACGAGUUUCUCUAAUACAGAGACUUAAUGACGGUACCUGAAGAAUAAGCACCGGCUAACUACGUGCCAGCAGCCGCGGUAAUACGUAGGGUGCAAGCGUUAAUCGGAAUUACUGGGCGUAAAGCGUGCGCAGGCGGUUAUGCAAGACAGAUGUGAAAUCCCCGGGCUCAACCUGGGAACUGCAUUUGUGACUGUAUAGCUAGAGUACGGCAGGAGAGGAUGGAAUUCCGCGUGUAGCAGUGAAGUGCGUAGGUAUGCGAAGGAACACCGAUGGCGAAGGCAAUCCCCUGGGCCUGUACUGACGCUCAUGCACGAGAGCGUGGGGAGCAAACA
rnacentral:rRNA from 1 species